rnacentral:ribozyme from 1 species
GCAACAACCCCAGUAGUGCAUCCACUGCAACAGCUGCGGGCCACGGAAAGGGUAUGUUUGGUGACCACGAGAAGG